GACGAACGCUGGCGGCGUGCUUAACACAUGCAAGUCGAACGGAAAGGCCCUGCUUUUGUGGGGUGCUCGAGUGGCGAACGGGUGAGUAACACGUGAGUAACCUGCCCUUGACUUUGGGAUAACUUCAGGAAACUGGGGCUAAUACCGGAUAGGAGCUCCUGCUGCAUGGUGGGGGUUGGAAAGUUUCGGCGGUUGGGGAUGGACUCGCGGCUUAUCAGCUUGUUGGUGGGGUAGUGGCUUACCAAGGCUUUGGCGGGUAGCCGGCCUGAGAGGGUGACCGGCCACAUUGGGACUGAGAUACGGCCCAGACUCCUACGGGAGGCAGCAGUGGGGAAUAUUGCACAAUGGGCGGAAGCCUGAUGCAGCAACGCCGCGUGUGGGAUGACGGCCUUCGGGUUGUAAACCGCUUUCGCCUGUGACGAAGCGUGAGUGACGGUAAUGGGUAAAGAAGCACCGGCUAACUACGUG
rnacentral:rRNA from 1 species